AGUGAACUUCGUUUGUAGUGAAAAUCCUUUUUGAGGCUUUUUCGGCCUCAAAAAGAUUGUAACGUAAAGCCCGACCCUUG
rnacentral:sRNA from 1 species